UUAAUUUUUAUUUUUUUGGAGCUUGUGGUGACUGGAAUUUGGAAUGGUUGAAUUUAUGUUUGGGGCUAGGAUUAGAAGAAGUUUGGGGACAAUAUAAGUUUGAAUUGUGAAUGGUCUACAAAAUGUUUGUUGAAAUUCCUAUGAGAACUUGAACUACUUUGGUGGUUUAUUUGAUAACUUUAAGUACUUGCAUUGACAUUGUGAAAUUUGGAACAUUAUUGUGGGUUGAGUUGAGAGUGGUGAAUUGAAUUGUGGUCAAUAUUGUGUUAUUAAGGAGUUCGUCGUAUUGAUUGGAAUUUGUAGUGGCUUAUUGAGAGAAUUUUUGGGUUAGCUUGUGAUGGUUGAAGUUCAUUGAAACUGUAACCUUUUUGGAGUUCACCUUGUCACCUAUUCUUCUUCCAGUUCUUUUAACAGAAGUAAAUUUGCGAGUACUGAAAUGGAUGAAAGAUAUCAAGGCAUGGUAGUUCACAAGAGUUGUAUUCCAGAAUGGGAUUUCAAUAAUCUUGAACUUUAUAUGAGGGAUGAAACUGGGAGUUGUUUACAUAACAACCAUAAACCGGAAAAAUUCAGUAGUGCGGGAAUUUUACACUAACGCUAAGACCACAGGAAUUCAGAAGUCUAUAUGUAGGGUAAGUGGGUUCGUUUUGACAGAACCUCAAUCAUAGCUCCUACAGAUUGCCAAAUAUUAAUGAUGAUAAAUUUUCCAAACUACGUGAAGAAACCCAGAGGACAUAAUUCGAGAGUUGGCUAAUCCAAAAACGAUCAAGCGUAGAUGUCACUAAUUUUCCCAUCGCAAGGAUAUAUGUUGAAUGCAAAACGUGGCAUUAUUUCUUUGUGCUAAACUUUUGUCCUGCAGCAAUUUUAGCAAAGUGACAAAAGAACGAGCAUUAUUGAACUUUCCCAUUUAGAGGGGCCUCAGUGUUGAUGUGGACUCGGUUAGUCAAACAAAUUUUUGGCACAUUCUUAAGGUUCUACAACCGUCUGUUUGGGUUACCCUUCACUAAUAUAUGCUCUAUGUAGAAAAUGGGAAUUGUAACAUCCCUAGCAAGGGAGGUAGUGUAUCCUAAACCAGUAAUGACUAAGAAGAUAAUUUGAUAGUUCAUUAGCAAGCAAAUAUACACAAGCAUCCCACCAUAGGAAGCAGGGGCAUAGCCAUCCCACUACUGUGGGCCUCUACUUGUCAGUAAGCCGAAUUAGGACAUUAUUCGUUGGAUUGAGGCCACGCAAUUGCAGCUCACACAAAGACAGGAUGAGUUGAAAUUGAGACAUAAACAGAGACAUGAUAGGAUCCAACAUCAACUCAAUCAAUUGUAGGUAUCAAUGCACGAUCAAUAUCACGAAUUGUAGAACUUGAUGCAUGUAUAAUAUCAAUAUCAAAAUGAGUUCUACUCAAUUUUGGCCUCUACAUAUCCCCACAUGACAUUUACUGAGAAGCUGACGUUCCCAUAUCAUCCAGCCACUUAGGUAUGACCUCACCAGGGCAAUGUCAAUGACACCAACUGAUGUAUUCAUGGAAGACUUAACCCUCAUUUGUAUUUAUUUUUAUAUUAGAGACAAUUUAUAUUUUAAAUUUGGAGGAUGAAUCAUUAGUUGUUAAUUGCUUUUGUCAAUUGUUUAUUAUAUUGUGUCAUUGUGCUUGUGUGAAAUGAUUUUAUACUAUUUCGCUUGUUUUGUAUACAAAAAACAAUAAUUUCUUUUUAUACAUGCUUGUGUGAGCUAGAUAGACUUGUCGAUUAUGAUGAAUAUAUUUGAGAGCACGUAUUAGUUUAUGAAUUGUGAAUGAAUCAUGUGUCGUAGUUGAAUUUUAUGCUUAUCCAUGUAAAGCAUGAAAAUAUUCAUGCACAACAAUUAAGUUUAGCAUCAUACAUAGCAGGUGGAUUCAUAUGUGUAGGCUGAAUAGAUGAUUUUGGUGUUUAAUCUUUUAACCCGUGGUUCACAAUAUCCUUUAAUUGCAUAUAUAAUGAUUUGGAGUAUUCUAAUUGGUAAAAGAAAUGAUUUAAGAUUGAUGUGAUUCUAUGAAUAUUGAAAAAAGCUGUGCCGAGUGUCUUUGAGUUUCAAGUAUGAACUUGGUGAUGACCAAGUGCCAAGGAUCUAAUCCCUAUAAAUUUUGCUUGUCUUUUAUAAAAAAUGAGCAUUGUACUUACUACUUAUUUAGUUUACUCCUCACUCCUACACCUUUUUUACUAGAAUUAGUAAGGGUAUCUUGAAACUUGGUACCCUUUAGUAUUCAAAAAUUGGAGAGUUACCAUCUCAAAGCUCAGUUCAAGAGGAGAAAAAAAAUGGUGAGAUCAAAAUUGAGCUUAAAAAAACUAUAUACAAGUGCGCAAGAAAAAAUUGAUUGUUGUGUACACAAAUAACUAGUGAUUGAAUCACUUGGUAUAAACUUGAUUGUUGAAACACUUAUAUUUUGGGAAAAUCGUGACGUUGCCAGUCCACUACUAAAAAACAGUUUUUCAGCUACGGAAAAUUACCAACGGAUGCAAUCCAUUGGUAAUUAAAAACGGAUUAUCCGUUGGUAAAAGUAAUUCACUUUUAGCUACGAUAAUCAGCAACGGAUUUUCCGUUGGUAAAGAUGAUAUCUCUUUACCAACGGAUAUUCCGUGCCUAAUAUAACCAUUUAACAUUUGGAUCUUUCACCUACGGAUAUUCCGUUGGCAAUUUACAGAAAAUUACCAACGGAUGCAAUCCGUUGGUAAUUAGAAACGGAUUAUCCGUUGGUAAAAGUAAUUCACUUUUAGCUACGAUAAUCAGCAACAUCUUUGGAGUGGUUAGUUGUUGAAUCUCAUGGCAGCAUUACUACACGGGUAGCAAAAGUAGCAAAAAUCCGAUUGAAAAUUCAAACAUUCCAAAAAGAGAUGGGGCAAGUUAUCAUGAUGCAUGAAACUGAUUCAAAGAGCUAAUGUAAAAGUGUCCAAAUCAUGAAAUCACCAUAAGUAAUCAAGUUCAAUGUUUCUACAUCGAACUUUCACCAUUGUCAAAAUCUCAAGUGGAUUUUCUUUGCAUAUGAAUCAAUUAUUGAAAAAUCGAUUCAAUAAUGCAUGGAUUUGUUUGAGUAAAUUUCCAUUAUACAUUCAAUGUUCUCCUUAGGAAGAGUAGUAACACAGAAGGCAGGUGAAAUUUAUGAAUUAGACAGCACAACAUCUACCAAUACACAAAUAGCUGCUUUGACAAAAUAGAUAAAGUUACUGUUGAAAUUACAAACACGUCGAGCACAUGCAAUGAUGGCCAAUCCAUCAUGUAAAAGUUAUGGAGCCAAUCAUCUCAUAGAGAAUUGCUUAUCUAUGGGUUUUCUCGAGGAAUUAGUGAACUUCGUUCAGAAUGGCUCCCGCAAUUUUAACCCAUAUGGACAAAAACAUAUAAUCCUAGAUAGAGACAACACACGAACUUUAGAUAGUCUGAUGAUCAGUAAGGGAAUAAUUCAAAUAAUGCCCAACACGAGAAAAAAUCCAGUUUGGAAGAGAUAUUCAAUUAGUACAUGUAAAAGACAGACAAGGUGUUCCAACAAAUUGAUACAAACUUUUAGAAUUGGCAAGCAUCUAUCAAAAAGUUGGAAGAUGAUUCAAAUAUUCCUCUAAUCUUAUGAAGGCCUUUAUUGGCCACUGGAAGAGCUCUGAUUGAUGAAUAUGAUGGAAAGAUGAUCCUAAGAGUGGACAAUGAACAGAUCAUAUUCAAUGUGUUCAAGGCGAUAAAAUAUCCAUUGACUUCUAAUACUUGCUGCCAAAUAGAUGUCUUUGAUGAGCUUGUAGCUGUACUUUUGAUGCAGAAUAUCCGGCAUUCAUAUAUGACGCACAAAUUGAACAAAUAGAAUAUGAGAUUAUAGAAAGAGAAGAAUGUGCUAUAUAGUUGGUAGAACAAUCUAUGGGAAGAGACAUUGACAAUGUGAGUCUCUUUGUGCCAAUCCAUCACUGUCGCUAUCCUCAGUGGAGAAGGCCCCAACUCUUGACUUAAAAUCUUUGUAAUCACAUCUAUGCUAUGCUUAUUCGGGAGAUUCCAUUGCACUUCCAAAAAUCAUUGCAAAUGAUAUGACAGAAGAAGAGGAGAAAAAAAAUAUUGGAGGUACUAAUGCUGCAAUUGGAUGGACAAUAACUGAUAUUAGAGGAAUUAGUCAUACCUUUGCAUGCACAAAAUCUUAAUAGAGGAUGAAUCAAAGCCAUCAGUAGAAGGACAUCGCACAUUAAAUCCAACUUUUAAAGAAGUGGUGAGAAAAGAAGUGCUAAAAUUGCUAGAUGCAGGGAUUAUUUACCCCAUCUCAGAUAGUUCUUAGGUAAGCUUAGUACAUGUGGUGCCUAAGAAGAUGAGAUUGUAGUGGAGACGAAUGAAAACAAUGAGCUCAUUCCAACAAGGGUAGUAACUGAAUGGAAAGUAUAUAUUGAUUACAGGAAGUUGACUAAUGUCAUAAGAAAAGAUCAUUUCCCAUUCUCCUUCAUUGAUCAAAUGUUGGAAAAGUUAGCUGGUCACUCACAUUAUUGCUUUCUGGAUGGAUAUUCAGUGUAUAACCAAAUAGAAAUUGCUCCAAAAGACUAGGAAAAACCAACCUUCAUAUGCCCAUAUAGUAGGUUUUCCUUUAGGAGAAUGCCUUUUAGUUAUGCAUCGCACCUGCAACUUUUCAACGCUACAUGACACCCAUAUUAUCUGACAUGGUGGAAAAAUAUAUCAAGGUAUCUAUUGAUGACUUUUCAGUAUUUGGAUAUUCUUUUGAUAGUUGCUUCAAACAUCUAUCUCUAGUGUUAUAAAGGUGUAAAGAAAGGAAUCUAGUGCUUAAUUGGGAGAAGUUUCAUUUUAUGGUGAAAGAAUGAAUAGUCCUAGGACAUAAGAUAUCUUCACGGGGAAAAAUCCAAAAUAUAUGUGAUUGAAAAAUUGCAGCCACCAAAUUCAUUUAAGGGGAUUAGAAGCAUUUUAGGCAUGCAGGGUUCUAUAGAAGAUUCAUUUAGGACCGUUCAAGGGUCAAAAACCUUAUGCAGCCUACUGGAGAAAGAUAUGCCAGUUAACUUUUUUGAUAAGUGUUUAAAUGACUUUAAUACUUUGAAAGAAAAGUUAACCUCAUCACUUGUUAUACUGCCACCAAAGUGGGAACCACCUUUUGAGCUUAUAUGUGAUGCCAGAGAUUAUAAAGUGGGAGCAGUGCUUAGACAAUGCAAGGGAAAGAUAGUGUAUGUCAUUUAUUACACCUGAAAGACUUUGAAAGAUGCUUAGAUUAAUUAUGCAACAACUAAAAAGGAGAUUCUAAUAUUAGUACUUGCCUUUGACAAAUUUCGCUCCGUUUAAUUGGGUCAGAGGACAUAGUUUAUACAGACCAUGCAGCAUUGAAAUAUCUUUUUGAGAAAAAAUAUAUAAAGCCCAGGUUGAUUUGAUGGUUUCUAUUACUACACGAGAUUGAUAUUGAAAUUCAUGAUAACACAGGAAAAAAAUCAGGUAAAGAUCAUGUAUAAAGGUUUGAACAAUCAAAAGGAUUACUUAAUUUGUAUAUCCAUAAAAUAUUUUCAGAUGAACAAUUAUUGCAGGUAGAGAAAGUACCGUAGUACAUAGAUAUUGUUAAUUACUUAGCUUGUGGUAAUAUGGAUCUAGACAUUACUUAUCAGUAGAAUAAGCUUUUCCAUGAAGUUAAAUUCUAUUAUUGGAAUGAUCUAAACUUAAACAGUAGAGGGACAAAUCAAAUCAAUAGAAGAUUCGUACCAGGAGAUGAGAUGAAGCCAAUCUUAUCACAGACUUAUGCUUCAACUUAUGAAGGACAUUUUAGCCCUACAAAAAUAGCAGCGAAGGUGCUUCAGUGCGGUUUCUUUUAGCCAUCAUUACUUAAAGAUUGUUAUAGCUUCUGUAGAUCAUGUAAUAAGUGCUAAAGAAUAAAUAACAUAUUAGCCUGUCAUGAGAUGCCACUAAACAAUAUUCUGGAAGUGGAAAUAUUUGAUGUAUGGGAUAUUGAUUUUAUAGGACCUUAUCUUUUAUCCAAUAAUAACGAUACAUUUUAGUGGCAAUGGACUACGUAUCAAAAUGGAAAGAAGCCAACAUCUUGCCCACUAAUGAUGCAAAGGUGUUGGUAGUCUUUAUAAAGAAAUAUAUUUUCAACCGUUAUGGAUCACCUAAUGCCAUAAUAAGUGAUGGUGGAACUCACCUCAGUGAUCGGCUAUUCAAGGUAGUGUUUCACAAAUAUGAGGUACAACAUCGAAUUGUCAUACUCAUCACCUUCAUACAAGUGGACAGGUUGAAACUUCUAAUAGACAGCUAAAAAGAAUCUUGGAACCUGCGAUGAAUGCAUCUCGAAAAGAUUGGUCCAAGAAUUAGGACGAUGCUUUGUGGGCCUAUCGACCUUCUAUAGGACAUUUAUUGUCACCAUGUUAAAUAGCGUUUGGAAAAGCAUGCCACUUACUAGCUGAGUUUGAGCAUAAAGCAUGCUGGCGUUGAAACAAUAGAGCACGGACUUAGAAAAGGCUAGAAAAGUGAGAAUCUUAUAGCUAUAUGAAUUAGAAGAAUUCAGAACAUAGGCCUAUGAAAACGCAUCCACCUAUAAAGAAAGGAUAAAGUAAUAGCAUGACAAAAAUAUUCAACAUUGAGUUUUCAGAGUAGGAGAUCAAGUCUUCUUAUUCAACUCUUGAUUGAAACUCUUUCUAGGUAAGCUAAAAUCGAGAUAGUCCAAACAUAUCACGGUAUUUCAAGGGUUUUCGUAUGGUGUAGUAGAAUUACAUCACCCAACACUGGAAAAUUUCAAAGUUAAUGAACAAUGCAUCAAACACUACAUUGUUUCAGAAUGAUAACGGUACAAGGUCAAGCCAAUAACUUUAAAGAAGCACUUUUUAGGAGGAAACUCAAGCUCUAUCCUUUACUAUUUACUUGGUUUUCAAUUUUUGGAUUUUUUUCCUUUUAUUGUUUAUAACAUUCUCGUUGUGCUUUGUGGAACAAAUCUCAAGUUUGGAUAUUAAACCAUGCAUGGACAGGACAUAAAAAUUCAAGUCAGCAAGUUUGGAGGAGUAUGUAAAAUUCAAAAUGGAGAAAGAAUGUUGAAAACACGUAAAAAAAACUCAUAAGUCAAUGAAAAAGAAACAAAUAAAUCCUACCCGAAUUGGGAUGCUGAGUGCCACACCACUAAGGCCAUGAUGCCCAAAACCCCCUAAAAUAGAUCAGUGCCACUAUCCCGGCAUCACGACACCCCAACCAGCCUUUCCAUACAAACUCGUGGCUCAACAGUGCCACUAUCUCAGCGCCAUGGUGCCAUUGACCAGCCACCAUCCUAUUUUUUUUCUCUUUUUUUCUUUUUUCUACAUUACAACUUCUAUUUAAUAACACCCCUCCCCAUACUAUUUUUAUUUUGUACUUUUCCACAAUCCUACAUAACAUCAAUCUCCCCUCAUUCCCAAGUUAUUCCAAGCCCAUUUGUUCUUGACACACAUGUGCGCGCCUCCAAGCCCAUUUGUUCUUGACACACAUGCACGCGCACGGCGCACACACACACACUCUCUCUCUCUCUCUCUCUCUCUCUCUCUCACCCUUCCCAAAAUCCUGUACUGAACUCCUCAAAAUCAUUGCAUUCACCUCAAUUUCUUUUAGAUCACUACACUACAACAUGAAAAGUCAUCCAUUAGAACAAAUCUCCCACCUCCAUAGCCACAUCUAACCUGAUUCGAUCCGAAUUGUUCCAUUUCUUUUCUCCAAAAUUUAAUUUCCACAACCUUCUAAUAAGUAGGUAUUCUACUCUAGGAGGGCUACACAAAGGAUGCCGAGUAUCUAAACUUGGGAAAUUUAUGAUACACUAUGUCAUAUUACACUUGGUGGUUGGAUGUGUGAAGCAAGAGUAGUUAUUUUUUAUUUUUUUGGAGCUUGGGGUGGACUGGAAUUUGGAAUGGUUGAAUUUACGUUUGGGGCUCGGAUUAGAAGAAGUUUGGGGACAAUAUAAGUUUGAAUUGUGAAUGGUCUACAAAAUGUUUGUUGAAAUUCCUAUGAGAACUUGAACUACUUUGGUGGUUUAUUUGAUAACUUUAAGUACUUGCAUUGACAUUGUGAAAUUUGGAACAUUAUUGUGGGUUGAGUUGAGAGUGGUGAAUUGAAUUGUGGUCAAUAUUGUGUUAUUAAGGAGUUCGUCGUUUUGAUUGGAAUUUGUAGUGGCUUAUUGAGAGAAUUUUUGGGUUAGCUUGUGAUGGUUGAAGUUCAUUGAAACUGUUACCUUUUUGGAGUUCACCUUGUCACCUAUUCUUCUUCCAGUUCUUUUAACAGAAGUAAAUUUGCGAGUACUGAAAUGGAUGAAAGAUAUCAAGGCAUGGUAGUUCACAAGAGUUGUAUUCCAGAAUGGGAUUUCAAUAAUCUUGAACUUUAUAUGAGGGAUGAAACUGGGAGUUGUUUACAUAACAACCAUAAACCGGAAAAAUUCAGUAGUGCGGGAAUUUUACACUAACGCUAAGACCACAGGAAUUCAGAAGUCUAUAUGUAGGGUAAGUGGGUUCGUUUUGACAGAACCUCAAUCAUAGCUUCUACAGAUUGCCAAAUAUUAAUGAUGAUAAAUUUUCCAAACUACGUGAAGAAACCCAGAGGACAUAAUUCGAGAGUUGGCUAAUCCAAAAACGAUCAAGCGUAGAUGUCACUAAUUUUCC
rnacentral:lncRNA from 1 species